rnacentral:rRNA from 1 species
UAUGGCCACAUCACGUUGAAACAUUGGUUUCCAUACGAUCAACGAAGUUAAGCAACGUCGAGCCUGGUCAGUACCUAGAUGGGUGACCGCU